rnacentral:rRNA from 1 species
ACCCAGUCUCGUCAGAUCCACGAAGUCAAGCAACAUUGGGUCAAGUUAGUACUUGGAUGGGUGACCGCCUGGGAAUACUUGAUGCUGUAGAUAA